rnacentral:rRNA from 1 species
AGUGAACGCUGGCGGUAGGCCUAACACAUGCAAGUCGAACGGAAGCACAGUAAGAGCUUGCUCUUACGGGUGGCGAGUGGCGGACGGGUGAGGAAUACAUCGGAAUCUACUUUUUCGUGGGGGAUAACGUAGGGAAACUUACGAUAAUACCGCAUACGACCUACGGGUGAAAGCAGGGGAUCUUCGGACCUUGCGCGAUUGAAUGAGACGAUGUCGGGUUAGCUAGUUGGCGGGGUAAAGGCCCACCAAGGCGACGAUCCGUAGCUGGUCUGAGAGGAUGAUCAGCCACACUGGAACUGAGACACGGUCCAGACUCCUACGGGAGGCAGCAGUGGGGAAUAUUGGACAAUGGGCGCAAGCCUGAUCCAGCCAUACCGCGUGGGUGAAGAAGGCCUUCGGGUUGUAAAGCCCUUUUGUUGGGAAAGAAAAGCAGCAGGUUAAUACCCCGCUGUUCUGACGGUACCCAAAGAAUAAGCACCGGCUAACUUCGUG